GCUGGGCAUGGUGGUGCGCGCCUGUAGUCCCAACUACUCGGGAGGCUGAGGCAGGAGAAUUGUUUGAACCCAGAAGGCGGAGGUUUCGGUGAGCUGAGAUCGUGCCAUUGCACUCCAGUCUGGGUAACAACAGCGAAACUCCGUCUCAAAAAAAAAAAAAAAAGUUUUUUUUUGUUGUUGCUUUUUUGAGGCGGGAUUCUCGCUGUGUUGCCCAGGCUGGAGUGCAAUGGCGCAAUCUCGGCUCACUGCAACCUCCGCCUCCUGGGUUCAAGCAGUUCUUCCUCAG
rnacentral:sRNA from 1 species